ACAACAUUCGGACCGUCGGUCUACUGAGCAAUAUCACCCGCUCGAUGGAAGAUCUCUCAUUUGUCGU
rnacentral:pre_miRNA from 1 species